rnacentral:lncRNA from 10 species
GGUGCAGGCGGGCUGAGUGUGAAAAGAGAGUCAGCAAAGUAUGGUGGGAUUAUCAUUAGUUCUUGUAGCUUUUGGGACAGGCGGUGGAGUUAGGGGCAAUGCUUUGCAGGCAGGGGGUGGAUCUCACCAAGUCCAUUCUCAAGGGUGGGGAGGAUUACAAAGAGCCUUCUGAAGGGUGGGGGAGAUUACAAAGCACAUUGAUCAGUCAAGAUGGUGCAGAAAUAAAUCACAAUGGUGGAAUGUCAUCACUUAAGGGUAUUUUCACUUCUUUCGUGGAUCUUCAGUUGCUUCAGGAGCUUGAGACCAGGGGUGGGAGGGCAUGGGAGAGAGCUCUGAGCCUAGACCUGAAGGAGGAGAAAGGGACAGGGUACAUAGGGUAAGAGCAGGGACAAUGACCUGAGACAGGAAGGGUUUUGAUGUUUGGGAAAAGAGAAAAGCAAAUGUGACUGGGGCAGAGGGAGUCAUGAGAUGAGGGCAAGCUGCCAGGAGGAGGCUGGACACUGGCAGGGGCCCUGCACACGGGGCUGUGGAGCCACAGUGAGGGGUUGGGCUUUUGUCCUGGGGAACACGGGAAGCCGGUGGAGGGUUCCCUGCCAGGGAUUGACGUGACCUGCUUUAGAUUUUGCUGUGAUGUCCUCAUACAGAGAAAGGCCUUGAAGAUGGUCUCUGUGUCUGAGUCUACCUCUAUUUCUUCCAUUCUUCUGCUUUUGUUUUUCAUUUUUAGGGCACUGCAUCCCAUUGAAAAUUCUAAUCACAACUGGGCACUCCUCAAAAAAAAAAAAGCCACACCCAGACACGCACUCCAUUUUGCCAAUCAUUUCAACGGUCAGGGACACUCGGGUUGACCUUUUCUGGUCAAGCCCCUCGUCGCCAAGUUGCAGGGAGGCUCACUGGGGCUCAGAUCGGAAGACAUUUUCACCAAGUUACCCUGAGAAGGUCUGAGAUGAGUGAGAAGGUGUCUAAAGUCUUACAUGGGGUCCUGGAAGGGCUAAUGGCAAAGGUUGCUCUUAUCACCCCCAUCCUUGAAAAUUAGAGAAACCUCUUUCACAAACCUGGGCUAAAGAAACUUCUUUUGCAAGGUUCUGAUGACAUUGAUUCCUGACAGUUAAUUCUUCCUUACAAAAAACUCACAGGAACAUUUAUAAAAUGCAGAAGUGUGAACACACAG